AGGGUUCGCGCCAGGAUCGGUCGCCCAUACUUGGGCGUGAAAAGGGAAUUCGGACAGGUUUUCACCACGAGAAUCGAAGCCGAGCUGCCCCCGCAACUGUAGAUACCGAGCCGCCCCCCGCCUUGGGGUUUCCCAAGGUUCAACAUCACUGACGCAUCAGCGUUUGGGAAGAUGGGGAGGCGGUGCUGACGUAUCAGCCAGGAGACCUGCCAAUCCAACGCGCGCGCG
rnacentral:ncRNA from 1 species